AAUUAAUGGUAUCCUGUAAUGUUAGAUCCCAUUCACAAUUUAGAUGAUUCAUCAUCCAUGUUUUGUAUAUGGUCUCCUCUAACUUACUAUUUUCUUUCCAUUUCAGGAAAAUCCAGAUGUUAUCCCUUCCUUACUCACUUUGGCAUUGAAUGAUAUUAUGACCUAUGAUAAGGUUUCGAAAUCUGGGGGCCCAAAUGGAUCUAUCCGAUUCAGCUCAGAGAUCAGCAGACCUGAAAACAAGUUGGUGCUUUGAAUUUAGUAGAGGAUGCAAAGAAGGAAAUUGAUUUGAAUUCCAAAGGGGGGCCAUUUCCUACUCUGAUCUGAUCCAAUAGGCAGCACGAAGUGCCAUUAAGCAAACCUUUCUAGCUUCUGCAAUUCGAAAAUGUGGAGGAAACGUUGAGAAGGGCAGUUUGUUAUACACUGCAUAUGGUUCAAAUGGUCAGUGGGGAUUAUUUGAGAGGAAUUUUGGAAGGACAGAUACCCAAGAGCCGGAUCCAGAGGGAAGGGUUCCCCAGUGGGACAAAGCAAGUGUUCAAGAAAUG